AGCUCUACAACCCCGGUGACGAUCGAGAUUGAACGCAGCUUCUACAACCCUGGCGACCCAACGAGUGCAGCUUCUCACGACGACCGACGACGACCGAGUCUCUCUCCAUCUUCACAGAUCUGUCUGCAGAGAUGUCAACUUCAAGUGCUAGCGGCAGUACCUCAGAUCAUUUGAAGAACAAGUGCAAAUGGACAGCAUACCAACCGUCACCAAACAACUUCAAAGUAUGGGUGAACACCUGCAAUUUCAAAGCGAACAACUUCAAAUUCAAAGCACGCAGAUGCAAAAAUUGCAGACAGACUUAAAUCGAAGUUGGUGUUGCAUUUAUGGGAUCUUUUUAUUCCUUGUAAUUGUUGUUGUAUUAGUUACGAAUAUGUAAUAAUUUAAAUAACGGUUAGAAGUUGAAAUAGAUGAUAUGUAUGAAGAUUUAUGAUAGAUGACAGUUAUUUUGGAGGAGUACGAACAUGUAAUCUGUUAUCUGUUUGCUUGUUUGUUUGAAGAAUGCUUGAACACGGAUUGUUAAAAUUAUGUUUGUUUGUUUGAGGAAUGCUUGAACACGGGUUGUUA